GGGCCAUGGAGAAGCUGCGGCGAGUCCUGAGCGGCCAGGACGACGAGGAGCAGGGCCUGACUGCGCAGAAUACUUAGUUAUUUUUAUCUGCUUUUCAUGCUACAUAAGGAUUCACAGAUUAAUCUCUUGAGGUCCUGGAUGCCUCAUCCCUUAGUUUCAACACCAGAUUGAAAUGGUUUGCCAUCUGCUUCGUAUGUGGCGUUUUCUUUUCUAUUCUUGGAACUGGAUUGCUGUGGCUUCCGGGCGGCAUAAAGCUUUUUGCAGUGUUUUAUACCCUCGGCAAUCUUGCUGCGUUAGCCAGUACAUGCUUUUUAAUGGGACCUGUGAAGCAACUGAAGAAAAUGUUUGAAGCAACAAGAUUGCUUGCAACAAUUGUUAUGCUUUUGUGUUUCAUAUUUACCCUGUGUGCUGCUCUUUGGUGGCAUAAGAAGGGACUGGCUGUGUUAUUCUGCAUAUUGCAGUUCUUGUCAAUGACCUGGUAUAGCCUGUCGUACAUCCCAUAUGCAAGGGAUGCAGUUAUUAAAUGCUGUUCUUCUCUCCUAAGUUGAAAAUCAGAAACUUGUGGAAAAGAGCACUUGAAUGUUGGUACUCUAUGUUUGGUGAAGUUUGCUUUUCCCCAUAAAACACUCCAGGAACAACUGACGUGACAGUUGAAGACCGUUUUGUACUAAGUCUCAUUUUGUAUACUGGUAAAAACUACAUGCUUGAUUAAACCAUUAAAUGCUUGUAACUUUAAA
rnacentral:lncRNA from 1 species